GAUGAACGCUGGCGGCGUGCCUAAUACAUGCAAGUCGAGCGAACGGACGAGAAGCUUGCUUCUCUGAUGUUAGCGGCGGACGGGUGAGUAACACGUGGAUAACCUACCUAUAAGACUGGGAUAACUUCGGGAAACCGGAGCUAAUACCGGAUAAUAUUUUGAACCGCAUGGUUCAAAAGUGAAAGACGGUCUUGCUGUCACUUAUAGAUGGAUCCGCGCUGCAUUAGCUAGUUGGUAAGGUAACGGCUUACCAAGGCAACGAUGCAUAGCCGACCUGAGAGAGUGAUCGGCCACACUGGAACUGAGACACGGUCCAGACUCCUACGGGAGGCAGCAGUAGGGAAUCUUCCGCAAUGGGCGAAAGCCUGACGGAGCAACGCCGCGUGAGUGAUGAAGGUCUUCGGAUCGUAAAACUCUGUUAUGAGGGAAGAACAUAUGUGUAAGUAACUGUGCACAUCUUGACGGUACCUAAUCAGAAAGCCACGGCUAACUACGUG
rnacentral:rRNA from 1 species